AUGGACGUUCCCCUGGCACUCCCUUUUGCCACCCUCGUCGUGGUCCUUCUGCUCUGCUCCGGCCCCAUCGCGGCCGAGGUGGAUGCCACAGCUGUGCUUGGAGAGGCGGUCCUGACACUUGACGCAGGCAACUUCUCAGAGGUGGUGGCCAAGCACGAGUUCAUAGUCGUCGAGUUCUACGCGCCAUGGUGUGGCCACUGCAAGGAGCUCGCUCCAGAGUACGAGAAGGCAGCCUCCAUGCUGAGGAAGCGCGACCCUCCAGUGGUGCUCGCGAAGGUGGAUGCGUACGACGAGAGCAACAAGGAGCUCAAGGACAAGUACAAGGUACAUGGGUAUCCGGCCAUCAAGAUCAUCAGGAAAGGAGGGAGCGACUUGAGCGCCUAUGGUGGCCCGAGGGACGCGGAGGGUAUCGUGGAGUACCUCACGAGGCAGGUCGGCCCAGCAUCUCUCGAGAUCAGGUCUGCAGUGGAUGCCUCACGCUCCAUCGGUGACAAAGGGGGGGUGGUCCUUGUGGGUGUAUUUCCUGAGUUUGCUGGUAUUGAGUAUGAGAAUUUUAUGGCCGUGGCAAACAAGAUGCGAACAGACUAUGAUUUCUUUCACACAUCGGAUGCGAGCAUUCUGCCACGUGGUGAUCUGACCGUCAAGGGCCCCCUUCUUCGACUCUUUAAGCCAUUCGAUGAGCUGUUUGUCGAUUCACAAGAUUUUGAUGAUGAUGCAAUCAAGAAGUUUAUUGAGGUGUCUGGUUUCCCUACUGUAGUUACCUUCGAUGCAGACCCGACCAACCAUAAGUUUAUUGAAAGAUACUACAGCACGCCUAGUGCCAAAGCAAUGCUUUUCUUGCGCUUCAGUGACGACAGAGUUGAGACCUUCAAGAGCCAGAUGCAUGAAGCAGCCAGGCAGCUCAGCGGUAAUAACAUCAGUUUUCUGAUUGGUGAUGUUUCAACCGCAGACCGUGCCUUCGAGUAUUUCGGGCUCAAAGAAAGUGAUGUUCCCCUCCUCCUCGUGCUAGCAUCUACUGGAAAAUAUCUCAAUCCAACCAUGGAGCCUGACCAGCUCAUACCCUGGAUGAAGCAGUAUAUAUAUGGCAACUUAACACCUUAUGUUAAGUCAGAGCCAAUUCCUAAGGUGAAUGAUCAACCUGUUAAAGUUGUCGUGGCUGACAAUAUUGAUGAAAUUGUUUUUAACUCUGGCAAAAAUGUUCUACUCGAGUUCUAUGCACCUUGGUGCGGUCAUUGCCGGAAGUUGGCCCCGAUUCUGGAGGAAGUUGCUAUCUCGUUGCAAGACGAUGAAGAUGUAGUCAUAGCGAAGAUGGAUGGUACUGCGAACGAUGUCCCGACAGACUUUGCGGUCGAGGGAUACCCAGCGCUGUACUUCUAUUCUUCUAGUGGAGGGGAUCUCUUGAUGUAUGACGGUCCAAGGACAGCCGAUGAGAUCAUCAGUUUUAUCAAGAAGAACAGGGGGGCCAAAGCUGCUGCAGUAGAAGUAACCCAGAUGGAUGCUGUAGAAGAGGAGGUAACAUCACCGACUCCAUCGGAGUCCGUUAAAGAUGAACUUUAG
rnacentral:rRNA from 1 species